CUGCUAGCAAAGGAAAGUUAAACAUAACGACAUGAAUUGAAUUAACCAGUGCACACGACUAGGAAAAAACAAACAUCAUUUGUCAUCGAGUUUCUAAUUAAAUCAUAGCUGCAACUGGGCAUCGUUAUUAUAAUAGUGAAGGUGAACGUGAUGCUACUUCCCUCAUUCCCAACAUGAAUCAAGUACCUGCAUUGAGUAAUGCAAGAGUGAGAUGAUACAUCUCAGCAAGCAAAUUGUUUUGACGAGAUAUUUAAACCACAAAUUGAAUUAAACAACAUUUUAAAGGAAUCACAAUUGAGAUCAGAAAUACUUGUAGAUAUAGAACUCAAUAGUCCCAAUAUAACCAAUACCAUCUCAUUUCCUCGAACAACCACAAUAGGUUGUAUAACCCUUCCCUGCGUCAACAAUACCUGCAGAUAUCACUUCAAUGUAUGCAUAGGAAUGCAAUGUGUAGGUCAUCUGCCCUCAUACCUCUGAGAGUAUAAAACCACAUCAUCUGCUAAUAUCACUUCAACGAAUGCAUAUAAAUGCAAUGCAUAUGUCCUCUGCCUUCAUACCUCUAAGGGUAUGAAGCCGCAUCGUACCCCUCCUCGGGCAACGUACGAUGCUAAGUUGUACCGGUACGGUCGGACCAUAGGUCACGACCAAACUUCUGAUGCAAAUGAAUCAUGUAAUGCAUAUGGCAUGCUGCAUUUAUCAAUACACUUCACUUCCUUCAGAUACAAAACAAACCUCAAAUAAUACUUCAUCUGCCUUCAGAUACGAUACAAACCUCAAAUAAUACUUUAUCUGCCUUCACGGGUGUAAAUUAAUCUCAUGGGUCAUACUCGAACCAUAAUCAUCAUCAAUAUAUGAUUGAGCAUCAGUAUAAUACAAUCAAGUAAAGCAUCACCAUAGAGUUCAAUUAUGAAAGAAUUCCAUAAUUCUGAAUAUUAGAGUGUAGGCGAUAAAAAACAAGUCAAAACGGUAGAAACCACUACUACAUUCACUUGCCUUCAUCGAGGAAGAAAGAUGUACUAGGCAUGAUCCGGAGUGUAGCCACCUGCUAGCGGGCAUAAAACUUAGUACAAAUAUUUCACAAACAUUUGCCAACAAUCAACAAAUCGCUCCUACACUUGAAACCAAGACCCGGUGGAAAGACUCCCACCGUGAACCACAUGCCAAACAACAACAUCACUGUUUGUUAAUUUUGUAUCUUUAAAAUUAUAACAGUGGUGAUAUUAAACAAAUACUCUAGGAGUGUAUACACAAAAUACUCUACAACUUCAGUAUUCAAUGGAUAAUUAAAUUCUGCCAUCUAUAAGUUCUAAAACAUCUGAUAAGAUAAAUGUCUGAAUCUGUUUCAGACAGCAGCAUAGUUAACUUCAAAUAUCAAUAUCUACCAAACUACUCAACCAAAAAUUAUGAAAUUCUGCUGGCAGUAAGAACUUUUAUCCCUCUACAAAUGUCUCCAUAGUUGGAACAGCCAAUUCGGCUAUUUACUAUAUGAAACCCACCAGUGAACAGACCCGCUCAUUUUGUGAGGCAAACAGGAACAGCCACAGUAAAACAAACAUAACUGGAGUUUCAUAAUUCAUAUGAAUGCGCUCUUUAACAAUCUGGAAAUCUUAUAAAAUUGUCUACAACUUCUUUAACAAUCCUAAAGUUUAAUUCUGUAGAUAAAAUUGCCUAAAUCUUAAGAGAACAGAUUCUGCACAGAAUUAUGAGACUGAAAAACUGCUAUAAUCAAACUGCAAUAACUUUCUGAUCUGAUAUCCGAUUGAGGUGUUCUUCGCGGCCACGGAAAGAUAUACAAAUUAUCUACAACUCAUAGACAGAAGUUUUAUUUUUUUGAGGCCACUAAGAUCACGGAAAACUGGCAUGAACAGAAACUGUUGAAUCUGCCAUCCUGCAGAAACUAAUUUCGAGAUCAAAAUCUAAUCUCCCAUCUAAUCCAACCAAAAAAACUAAUUGCAGGGCCUAAAACUCAUCCAAAACAAGAGAAAGCAUUCAUCAAGUGGAGAAAAGAGAGAGAGGAAAGGAAAUCCAACCAAUUCUUGGAGAGGAACGACGAUGAUGAGCGACGGUAUGCCCUCAUCUCCCCUCUCUUCUCUUCUUUUUUCUUCCUCUCAUCUCUUGGGGCAAGGCACAAAAGGGUGACGGCUGCUAGG
rnacentral:lncRNA from 1 species